rnacentral:tRNA from 1 species
GCGGGCGUAGCUCAGAGGGUAGAGCGUCUGCCUUCCAAGCAGAAGGUCGCGGGUUCGAAUCCCGUCGCCCGCUCCU